ACGGCCAUACCACAUUGAAAACACGGUUCUUGUCCGAUCACCGAAGUUAAGGAAUGUCGAGCCCGGUCAGUACUUGGGAGGGUGACCACUUGGGAACACCGGGUGCUGUAGGCU
rnacentral:rRNA from 1 species